UACGUAGGGUGCGAGCGUUGUUCGGAAUUACUGGGCGUAAAGCGCGUGUAGGCGGGUCUUUAAGUCAGGGGUGAAAUGCCAAGGCUCAACCUUGGAACUGCCUUUGAUACUGGAGAUCUUGAGUCCGGGAGAGGUGAGUGGAACUGCGAGUGUAGAGGUGAAAUUCGUAGAUAUUCGCAAGAACACCAGUGGCGAAGGCGGCUCACUGGCCCGGAACUGACGCUGAGACGCGAAAGCGUGGGAGCAAACAGG
rnacentral:rRNA from 1 species